GGAGCAGGUCCAAUGGCUGACGAGCCAAGUGAUUCAGGUUCAGAACCAAGAACUUCUUUUAGCAAGUCAUCUUUAAGAGAAUUCUUGUUAUUUUCUGAAAUUUCAGAAACGUCAGGAUCUCUAAUAAGGCAGGAAUCAGCCUGAAUUAAUUAUUCGCACGAUAUAACAAAACUUAUACUAAUUUCAUAGUUGAGUUAUUCAAAUUGAUAAAAUAUUAAAUUCAGUGAAAUAUUAAAUUCAACACGUGUGGCAUUCCAAAAUCUGGGGACCAUUGAUUUCCCCUCUCCUGCCUAACCAAGGAUAAAGUGGGUGAGCAUUUUCCACUCUCCAGCUAAGGAGAGUACCACUUGCUUUGCUCCAAAUGGAUCCACAUGCAUUUCACGUGACACAUAUCAUCCCGUCUAUAAAAGAGAGAACACCGCGCACAUACAAUUGAAGAAGAGGAAGAACCGAACAGCACCGGAACAAAGGAAGAAGGCCGCCGUGCGCAGACGACCCAGUUUAUUAUCCGUCGAGAUGGGAAUUUGGUUGUACAAUGUUAUAAAUCUCUCAAGGAGAGAUGUCAUGUUAGAGAAAUCACGAACAAUUCGACAUAUAAACACGAUCACUGACACAGUUGAUACCGUCACCGGAUACCAGAACGAUGCUUGGAUUUUCUACCAUGAUGGAGGGAGGACUCGUGUGGUCGUGUACGAUAAUGGCAACUGGGGAUUGGUGAUUCAGCUUAGGCGUGAUGGUACUGAAGACUUAACUAGAACGUGGAGUAUACAUAACAAUUGUACACGCUAUAAUUUUGUUUUUGAGCCGACUAAAAUUUGGUUUUACUCUUCGGAUUAUCCAUUGUCGUUGGACGGCGUGCAGCACCAAGCAUGGGUUAUUCAAAUUCAAAGGAAUUGGAGAUGGGAGGCGUACAAUGUGAAUACCACUAGAUUUUUAAAAGAGUGAUGGUUUAUAUAUUUUCUAAAUCUUGUUCAAUUAAUAGGCUUUAUGCUUGUAAUAAUGUAUCCUGUAGUUGGUGAACUAUGAAAAAAAUUUGAAGUAAUAAAAUGCAAUUUUUAUUGCAAGUUUCCUUCA